GUUGUCUAGUCCAGCUGAUUUGUAGGGGUCCAGGUUGUCUAGUCCAGCUGAUUUGUAGGGGUCCAGGUUGUCUAGUCCAGCUGAUUUGUAGGGGUCCAGGUUGUCUAGUCCAGCUGAUUUGUAGGGGUCCAGGUUGUCUAGUCCAGCUGAUUUGUAGGGGUCCAGAUUUCGCGGCUCUUUCAGAACAUCAGCUGUCUGGAUUUGGGAGAAGGAGAAAUGGGGGAGGCUUGGCAAGUUGCUGUGGGGGGCGCAGGGCUGUUGACCGGGGUAGGGGUAGGGGUAGCCAGGUGGAAAGCAUGGCUAGCCGUAGAAAAAUUCUUAUUGAAAUUCUCAAUUAUAGUGCAUUUAUCGGUGGUGACAGUGUUUCCUAUCCUCAGAGCAGUGGGCAGCUGGGAGGAGGUGCUCUUAUUCUCCAUGGACUUUACAGUGUCGGCCAGGAAUGGCAAAUAGUUUCU
rnacentral:lncRNA from 1 species